UGCGUAGGUGGCCUUUUAAGUUGGAUGUGAAAUACCCGGGCUUAACUUGGGGGUGCAUCUAAUACUGGAGGGCUAGAGUGCAGGAGAGGGAAGCGGAAUUCCUAGUGUAGCGGUGAAAUGCGUAGAUAUUAGGAGGAACACCAGUGGCGAAGGCGGCUUUCUGGACUGUAACUGACACUGAGGCACGAAAGCGUGGGGAGCAAACA
rnacentral:rRNA from 1 species